GAGCCGAUGAAAGACGUGAUAAGCUGCGAAAAGCUUCGGGGAGGAGCAAAUAUCCCGUGAUCCGGAGAUGUCUGAAUGGGGAAACCCACAUGAGCAAACCUCAUGUAUCCAUACGCCAAUCCAUAACGUAUGGAAGGGAACCCGGGGAACUGAAACAUCUAAGUACCCGGAGGAAAAGAAAGAAAACUCGAUUCCGUAAGUAGCGGCGAGCGAACGCGGAGGAGCCUAAACCGGAAUGCGUGCAUUCCGGGGUUACGGACUGCAUUUAAGAUUCUUUGAAGCUAACAGAACGGUUUUGGGAAAGCCGGCCGGAGAGGGUGAAAGCCCCGUACGUGAAAGCUGAUGAGACUGAGCAGGAUCCAGAGUACCACGAGACACGUGGAACCUUGUGGGAAAUCAGGGGGACCACCCCCUAAGGCUAAAUACUACUUAGUGACCGAUAGCGCAUAGUACUGUGAAGGAAAGGUGAAAAGGACCCCGGGAGGGGAGUGAAAGAGAACCUGAAACCCUGUGUCUACAAGCUGUGGAAGUGCUUUAUAUGCACGACCGCGUACUUUUUGUAGAACGGUCCGGCGAGUUACGCUUACUGGCAAGGUUAAGCACUUCAGGUGUGGAGCCGUAGGGAAACCAAGUCUUAAGAGGGCCAGAGUCAGUAGGAGUAGACCCGAAACCGGGUGAUCUAUCCAUGUCCAGGUUGAAGCUGCCGUAAGAGGUAGUGGAGGACCGAACCCACAUCCGUUGAAAAGGGUGGGGAUGAGGUGUGGAUAGGGGAGAAAUUCCAAUCGAACCCGGAGAUAGCUGGUUCUCCUCGAAAUAGCUUUAGGGCUAGCCUCGAUUUAGUCUUAUGGAGGUAGAGCACUGAAUUUCCGCGGGGGCGUCAAAGCUUACCAAAGAAUAUCAAACUCCGAAUGCCAUGUAGAUGAUGAACGGGAGUCAGACUGCACGAGAUAAGUUGGGCGGUCAAAAGGGAAAGAGCCCAGACCUUCAGUUAAGGUCCCAAAGUGCGCGUUAAGUGGAAAAGGAUGUGGGAUUUCGAAGACAACCAGGAUGUUGGCUCAGAAGCAGCCAUACAUUCAAAGAGUGCGUAAUAGCUCACUGGUCGAGAGGUCCUGCGCCGAAAAUGUCCGGGGCUGAAACGCGCCACCGAAACUAAGGAACCGAAAGGUUGGUAGAGGAGCAUUGCAUGCGGGAAGAAGCAGUACCGUAAGGAGCUGUGGACUGCAUGGAAGAGAGAAUGCCGGAAUGAGUAGCGAGAUAGAGGUGGGAAUCCUCUAGGCCGAAUAUCCAAGGUUUCCAGGGUAAAGCUGAUCUGCCCUGGGUAAGUCGGGGCCUAAGGAGAGGCAGAAAUGCGUAUCCGAUGGACAGCAGGUUGAGAUUCCUGCACUAUCUUAAAACAGAACUGUGGGGACAUUUGUGGAGAGCACAGGCGCGGAACGGAAAGCCGCGUGCAAGCGAAGGAGGAGUCACAUAGGAAAAACCGUGUGGCAAUCCAAAGGCGUGAUGCGGACCGAACUAAAGUAGGGAAGUGUGUGAGCCAUGAAUCAAGAAAAGCCGCUAUUGUUUUUAAGAUACCCGUACCGUAAACCGACACAGGUGGAUGAGGAGAGAAUCCUAAGGCCGGCGGAAGAAGCAUUGUUAAGGAAUUCGGCAAAAUGACCCCGUAACUUCGGGAGAAGGGGUGCCUGCGAGAGCAGGCCGCAGAGAAUAGGCUCAAGCAACUGUUUAGCAAAAACACAGGUCUAUGCGAAACCGAAAGGUGAGGUAUAUGGGCUGACGCCUGCCCGGUGCUGGAAGGUUAAGAGGAGAGGUUAGCGCAAGCGAAGCUUUGAAUUUAAGCCCCAGUAAACGGCGGCCGUAACUAUAACGGUCCUAAGGUAGCGAAAUUCCUUGUCGGGUAAGUUCCGACCCGCACGAAAGGCGUAAUGAUUUGAGCGCUGUCUCGACAAUGCAUCCGGUGAAAUUGAAGUACCAGUGAAGAUGCUGGUUACCCGCGCCAGGACGGAAAGACCCCAUGGAGCUUUACUCCAGUUUGGUACUGGGGUCCGGCAGUGCAUGUACAGGAUAGGUGGGAGGCUGUGAACCUGGAACGCCAGUUUCAGGGGAGCCAUUGUUGGGAUACCACCCUUGUGCUGCUGGGCUUCUAACCAGCGGCCUUUAUCAGGCCGGGGGACAAUGCCAGACGGGGAGUUUGACUGGGGCGGUCGCCUCCGAAAGGGUAUCGGAGGCGCCCAAAGGUUCCCUCAGAAUGGACGGAAACCAUUCGAAGAGUGCAAAGGCAGAAGGGAGCUUGACUGCGACACCGACGG
rnacentral:rRNA from 1 species